AGAGUUUGAUCAUGGCUCAGAUUAAACGCUGGCGGCAUGCCUUACACAUGCAAGUCGAACGGCAGCACGGGGGCAACCUUGGUGGCGAGUGGCGAACGGGUGAGUAAAGCAUCGGAACGUGCCCUGGAGUGGGGGAUAACGUAGCGAAAGUUACGCUAAUACCGCAUAUUCUGUGAGCAGGAAAGCAGGGGAUCGCAAGACCUUGCGCUCUGGGAGCGGCCGAUGUCGGAUUAGCUAGUUGGUGGGGUAAAGGCCUACCAAGGCGACGAUCCGUAGCGGGUCUGAGAGGAUGAUCCGCCACACUGGGACUGAGACACGGCCCAGACUCCUACGGGAGGCAGCAGUGGGGAAUUUUGGACAAUGGGCGAAAGCCUGAUCCAGCCAUGCCGCGUGAGUGAAGAAGGCCUUCGGGUUGUAAAGCUCUUUCGGUGGGGAAGAAAUUGCAUAGGCUAAUACCCUGUGUAGAUGACGGUACCUGGAGAAGAAGCACCGGCUAACUACGUG
rnacentral:rRNA from 1 species